rnacentral:misc_RNA from 1 species
UCUCCGUUGGUGAACCAGCGGAGGGAUCAUUACCGAGUUUACAACUCCCAAACCCCUAUGUGAACGUUACCAAACUGUUGCCUCGGCGGGAAAUUCAUGCCCCGGGCGCGUCGCAGUCCCGGACCAAGGCGCCCGCCGGAGGACCAACCAAAACUCUUUUGUAUGUCCCUCGCGGACUUUUUUAAUUCUGAACCAUCUCGGCGCCCCUAGCGGGCGUUUCGAAAAUGAAUCAAAACUUUCAACAACGGAUCUCUUGGUUCUG